UAUCAUUGCCUGUGGGAUCCGAGUAAGCCACUGACAUAAUACAAAGGUUUACGUCAAAAUACGAAAAGUGAAGAGCAAAAUCAUUCUGUUUCACGUUAAUGGGUAUUUCUGUGACGUAAAAAUCUCCUCUCCCUUUAGAUUAAUUGCAUUGAUAAAAUACAGCACUGGAUGUUAUUACAUGUACGGCUGCCCCACCGUUUCAGAGGCAACGUUGGAGGGCGGGGAGCCACUUCCAGUCCUCUCCCCACUUGCCCAACACUUUUUUCCUCUGGUAAUUGACUUCUCCUUUUGCCCGCUCACCAAUGUCCUGACAUAGGACACUGUCCAGGUUGUGGGCAGAGCACACGGCGGGUCGGUGACAGCCCUGAACCAGAGCCAUGUUCCUGUGCCGUGGUGUGGGGUGCGUAAACUGCAGGGCAGGGCAGGGUGUUGGCCACGGAUGCUGUUCCUGGUGCCUUCUCGCUCCUAAUAAAAGCGUCCCUGCCAAAGAAACCAACAGCCUGUGUAUGAAAUAUUUCCUUACCUGUGGGUGCAUUGUCUUUCAGAAACUAAAGAGAAAUCAAGAUCCCCUCCACGCAUCUCUUGAUCUUCACCAGACUUGAAGAACCUGUAGCUCUUAGAGCUGGAGUGGAAAGUGACCUGUUGUGUUUGUGGAAGCUUUGGAAUCCCGCAGGAGCAGGAUCACUCAGCACCAUGGCGGUGUGCCAAGUACAACUUGUUCUGUAGCGCAGCGCUCGGAGUUGCAUUAUCAACUGAAG
rnacentral:lncRNA from 1 species